UGCCGAAGGCUAUUGGCCUGCCGGGCCCCA
rnacentral:sRNA from 1 species